CCUACGGGUGGCAGCAGUGGGGAAUAUUGCGCAAUGGGCGAAAGCCGGACGCAGCGACGCCGCGUGAGGGAUGAAGGUCUGCGGAUCGUAAACCUCUGUCAGCAGGGAAGAAAGGUCACGGGGCUAAGCAGCAGUGAAUUGACGGUACCGGCAAAGGAAGCACCGGCUAACUCCGUGCCAGCAGCCGCGGUAAUACGGAGGGUGCGAGCGUGAAUCGGAAUUACUGGGCGUAAAGCGCGCGUAGGCGGUAUGUCAAGUCAAGGGGGACAUCCCCGCUCUCAACGUGGGAACUGCCUUUGAAACUGGCACCCUGGUGUGUGUGAGCGGCUAGUGGAAUUCCAGGUGU
rnacentral:rRNA from 1 species